GAUGUGCUCACAAUUCAUAUGCUAACAUUAGAGAAACAUAGAGAAGACUAGCAUGGCUUCAGCACUAGAAUAACAAGCUAUUUUAUGAAGAACUGCCAAUCUUA
ensembl:snRNA U6 U6 spliceosomal RNA